CCUACGGGAGGCAGCAGUAGGGAAUAUUGCUCAAUGAGGGAAACCCUGAAGCAGCAACACCGCGUGGAGGAUGAAGGUUUUCGGAUUGUAAAGUCCUUUUGUUAGAGAAGAUAAUGACGGUAUCUAACGAAUAGGCACCGGCUAAAUCCUUGCCAGCAGCCGCGGUAAUACGGAGGGUGCAAGCGUUACUCGGAAUCACUGGGCGUAAAGGGCGCGUAGGCGGGAUAGCAAGUCAGAUGUGAAAUCCUAUGGCUUAACCAUAGAACUGCAUUUGAAACUGUUAUUCUAGAGUAUGGGAGAGGUAGGUGGAAUUCUUGGUGUAGGGGUAAAAUCCGUAGAGAUCAAGAGGAAUACUCAUUGCGAAGGCGACCUGCUAGAACAUAACUGACGCUGAUGCGCGAAAGCGUGGGGAGCAAACAGGAUUAGAUACCCCAGUAGUC
rnacentral:rRNA from 1 species